CAGAUUUCUCUGAAUUCCCGGAUUUCUCCAGAAUUCCCAGAUUUCUCCGGAACUCCCAGAUUUCUCUGCCACUCCCAGAUUUCUCUGCCAUUCCCAGUUUUCCCCGCCAUUCCUGGUUCUCUCUGCCAUUCCCGGAUUUCUCUGAAUUUCCAGAUUUCUCCGUAAUUCCCCAUUUCUCCGGAACUCCCAGCUUUUUCCAGAACUCCCAGAUUUCUCUGCCAUCCCCAGUUUUCCCCGCCAUCCCUGGUUUUCUCUGAAUUCCCAGAUUUCCCUUGAACUCCCGGAUUUCUCCGGCAUCCCCAGGAAUCCCAGUUUUUCUGUGCAUCCCGGUUCCCCCCAGCAUUCCCAGUUUUUCUCGGUGUUCCCGGUUUUGUAGGAAUCCCAGUUUUUCUCUGCAUCCCAGUUUUCCCCCAGCGUUCCCAGUUUUUCCCGGUGCUCCCGGUUCCCCCCGCUGUUCCCAGUUCCCCGCACCGUUCCCAUUUUUUCCCAGUUAUUCCCGGUUCCCCCCGGUUAUUCCCGGUUAUUCCUGUUUUUCCCGGUUAUUCCCGGUGUUCCUGGUUCCCCCCGGGUUAUUCCCGUUUUUCCUGGUGUUCCUGGUUUCCCCCAGUUAUUCCCAUUGCUCCCAGUGUUCCCGGUUAUUCCCAUUGUUCCCCCGUUAUUCCUGGUGUUCCUGUUAUUCCCGUUGUUCCCCCCGGUUCCCCCCUUGUUCCCGGUUCCCCCCAUUAUUCCCAUUAUUCCUGUUGUUCCCCCCGGUUAUUCCCGUUAUUCCCGUUGUUCCCGUUGUUCCCCCGGUUAUUCCCGUUGUUCCCGUUAUUCCCAUUAUUCCCGUUGUUCCAGUUAUUCCCGUUGUUCCUGUUAUUCCCGGUUAUUCCCGUUGCUCCCGUUAUUCCCGUUUUUCCCCCCGUUAUUCCCGUUAUUCCCGUUGUUCCCGUUAUUCCCGUUGUUAUUCCCGUUUCCUUGCAGCACUCCUCCCUGCUGGGCGGCGCCUUCGGGGACUCGUUCUACGAGCAGCAGCUGACGGCGCGCCAGGCCAACGCCCUGUCCCACCAGGUGAGCCGCGCCCCAAUUAACCCACUAAUUAACGAGCAAUUAACGGCGCCUUUCUUGCCUUCCCCUGGUCCCCUCCCCUCUCCCCAUCCCCUCCCGUCCCACGCAGCCGUUCUGCCAAAAAAAAUGGGAAAUCGGUUAAAAAAAUGUGUAAUAAUGGAGGUUUAAAAUGGGAGAUCAAUUAAAAAUGUGUAAUAAUGGAGGUCUUAAAGUGGGAGAUCAAUUAAAAAAUGUGUAAUAAUGGAAGUUUAAAAUGGGAGAUCAAUUAAAAAAUGUGUAAUAAUGGAGGUUUAAAAUGGGAGAUAAAUUUAAAAAUAUUUAAUAAUCAAGCAUUUUAAAAUGGGAGAUCAGUUUAAAAAAUGUGUAAUAAUUAAGGUUUUAAAAUGGGAGAUCAGUUAAAUAAUGUAUAGUAAUCAAGCUUUUAAAAUGGGAGAUCAAUUUAAAAAUAUAAUAAUGGAGGUUGUAAAGUGGUGGAUCAAUUUUAAAAAAGUAUAAUAAGGAAGUAUAAAUGUAUAAAAAGGAAAAAUAAUGAAAUAUGAAAGAGGAAAAAGAGUGAAUAUUUUUGUAUGAAAAUCCAUUUUGAAAGGAAAAACAAGGAUAUGAAUUUUUUAAAUAAUGGAAAAAUAAUGAAAUUUGAAAGAAUGAAUUUGGAGCAGGCUCAGAUGAAUUUGGAGCAGGCACAGCUGGAUUUGGAGCAGGCACAGAUGAAUUUGGAGCAGGCACACGUGAAUUUGGAGCAGGCACAGCUGGAUUUGGAGCAGGCACAGAUGAAUUUGGAGCAGGCACAGAUGGAUUUGGAGCAGGCUCAGGUGAAUUUGGAGCAGGCUCAGGUGAAUUUGGAGCAGGCUCAGGUGAAUUUGGAGCAGGCACAGCUGGAUUUGGAGCAGGCACAGAUAAAUUUGGAGCAGGCACAGAUGGAUUUGGAGCAGGCACAGAUGAAUUUGGAGCAGGCACAGGUGAAUUUGGAGCAGGCACAGCUGGAUUUGGAGCAGGCACAGCUGGAUUUGGAGCAGGCACAGA
ensembl:lncRNA